ensembl:lncRNA
CUUACCCUGAGCCGGGCUUACCCUGUAAGCUUCUCUCCUUCCGCCGGGCCCCUGAAUGAGCACACCAGACCCAACCCUGAGCCCAGCUCACUGAGAGGCACCAAGGCCAGCUGGCCCAGAGCUUGAAGCCCACUCACCCAGCCCAGCCCAGCCUAGACCAGCUGAUUCCUGCAAACCCAUGGAGGCGACAAGAAAGCUUCCCCUGCUAGCUGCUAUUCCUCCAACUGGGACUCUGGAAUGAACAGACAGGGAACAAACCCGAGCCCAGUUCACAGAAACCGAGCACAGAUGGACCCACAGCUUGAAGUGGGGCCACCAGCUAAUAGCUUCCCCUGGAGGAUCCCAUCAAAGCCAAGGACCAGAGGGAGGAAGAACGGCAGCAGAUGCGAGCUGAAGCCUAGGUCUGUCUGGUGGAGCCCAGGAGGAAGUCGUGCGGGAGGCGGGGUCCUGAAAGGGUCAGAAUAGAUACAUCGAAGGAUGGAGGGAGUCUCAGUACCAAUUACAAGCCAUGGCUUUACAAGCAGUGCCUUCAGCCUGGAAUUUGAGAUGACUGCAAGAAGAAGAUUUUCUUUCUUCCCACCACCCCCUUCUUCUUUUUACCUCCCAGAACUUAGCUGUGUUACAAGAAUAAUGAGUCCUGUUCCUAACACACCUUUGCCACGGUCCUCCAUGGCCCCCUGGGUGGUAGCCAUCCGAUGUUUUAGCUGCUAAGAAGAUUAGUCAGUGACAUCGCCAGAGCCUGUCCUUCGGUGGUGGGUAGUCUGUCCUGCUGCAGAACAGGGCUUGGCAAGGAGAGAGGCCUGUCUCUAGGGCCCCAGAAGGGUCAGCUCUUCAGCCAGGCCAACCUGCUGGUUUGGGGCCUCCUGCGGAAAGCUGGAGCUGCAUUUGGGCCUCGUGGGGAGGCUGCAGGUUUCAUGGCCAAAUACCUGCCCUGGUGUCCACCAAGUCUCUGCAGACUCUGCCAAAGCCCUGGACUUGGCCACGGAUGAGGGAAACACCACAGAGGAGGAGAUGGCCAUGGAGACCCAAAGUCCCUCCGCGCUUCUAGAGGGCAUGGUGUGGAGGCCCCAGCAGAAGAAGCUUCUGAGUGCUCAAAUGAGGAGCCUGGAGGAACAAGAGCUUGUGGGGACCCGGGUUUGAUCCCUGGUCUGGGAAGAUUCCACAUGCUGCAGAGCAACCAAGCCCCAGUGUGUCAACUACUGAAGCCCACAUGCCCUGGAGCCCAUCCUCUGCAACAAGAGAAGCCACCGCAAUGAGAAGCCCACAUCCCGAAAUUAGAGAGUAGCCCCCACUUGCCACAACUAGAGAAAGCCCAUGCAACAACAAAGACCCAGCAUAGCCAUAAAUAAAUAAUUUAAAAA